UCUUAUUUUACUAAUUGAUGGUUCUCUUUCAGGUGAGACGUUAGCUUUGUAUGAGCUACAAUGCGAUCUACGCCCUUACAAAUUCUACUUUGUAAGUCACUUUCUUUUAAAACAGUGAAAAUUUUACUUUUUGUAGAUUUGAUUUUUUACUAACUGAGGGUUCUUUUUCAGAUGAGACGAUAGCUCUGUGCGAGCUGCAAUGCGAUCUACGCGCUCACAAAUUGAACUUUGUGACACGAUAGCUCUGUACGAGCUACAAUGCGAUCUUCACCCUCACAAAUUCUACUUUGUAAGUUAUUUUCUUUUAUUACAGUAAAAAUUUUACUUGUAGAAGUUUAGAUAUUUUACUAAUUGAUGCUUCUCUUUCAGGUGACACGAUAGCUCUGUGCGAGCUACAAUGCGAUCUUCGCCCUCACAAAUUCUACUUUGUAAGUUACUUUCUUUUAAUACAGUGAAAAUGUUACUUUUGCAGAUUUGAUAUUUUAUUAAUUGAUGCUUCUCUUUCAGGUGACACGAUAGCUCCGUGCGAGCUACAAUGCGAUCUUCGCCCUCACAAUAUCUACUUUGUAAGUUACUUUCUUUUAAUACAGUGAAAAUUUUACUUGUAGAAGUUUUGAUGUUUUAGUAAUUGAUGGUUCUCUUUCAGGUGAGCCAUUAGCUCUGUGCGAGCUAUAUUGUUAUCUACGCCCUCACAAAUUAUACUUUGUAGGUUCCUUUCUUUUGGUACUUAUUGUUGGUUCUCAUUCAGGUGAGACGUUAGCUCUGUGUGAGCUACAAUGCCAUCUACGCCCUCACAAAUUCUACUUUGUAAGUUACUUUCUUUUGAUACAGUGAAAAUUUUACUUUUUGUAGAUUUGAUAUUUUACUAAUAUGUGGUUCUCUUUCAGGUGUGACGUUAGCUCUGUGCGAGCUGCAAUGCGAUCUACGCGCUCACAAAUUGAACUUUGUAAGUUACUUUCUUUUAGUAUAGUGAAAAUUUUACUUUUGAUAGUUUUCAUUUUUUACUAAUUGAAGCUUCUCUUUCAGGUGACACGAUAGCUCUGUCCGAGCUACAAUGCGAUCUACGCGCUCACAAAUUCUACUUUGUAAGUCACUUUCUUUUAAUACAGUGAAAAUUUUACUAUUUGCAUAUUUGGUAUUUUACUAAUUGAUGGUUCUCUUUCAGGUUACACGAUAGCUCUGUGCGGACUGCAAUGCGUUCUUCGCCCUCACAAAUUCUACUUUGUAAGUUACUUUCUUAUAAUAAAGUCAAGAUUUUACUUUAUGUAGAUUCAUAUAAUACUAAUUGAUGGUUCUCUUUCAGGUGAGACGACAGCUCUGUGUGAGCUACAAUGCGAUCUACGCCCUCACAAAUUCUACUUUGUAAGUUACUUUCUUAUAAUAAAGUCAAGAUUUUACUUUAUGUAGAUUUGAUAUAAUACUAAUUGAUGGUUCUCUUUCAGGUGAGACGACAGCUCUGUGUGAGCUACAAUGCGAUCUACGCCCUCACAAAUUCUACUUUGUAAGUUACUUCUUUUAAUACAGUGAAAAUUUUACUUUUUUAGAUUUAUAUUUUACUAAUUGAUGGUUCUCUUUCAGGUGAGACGAUAGCUCUGUGCGAGCUACAAUUCGAUUUACGCCCACACAAAUUCUACUUUGUAAGUUACUUCUUUUAAUACAGUGAAAAUUUUACUUUUUUAGAUUUAUAUUUUACUAAUUGAUGGUUCUCUUUCAGGUGAGACGAUAGCUCUGUGCGAGCUACAAUUCGAUUUACGUCCACACAAAUUCUACUUCGUAAGUUAUUUUCUUUUAAUACAGUGAAAA
rnacentral:misc_RNA from 1 species